rnacentral:rRNA from 1 species
GACGUAGGGGGCGAGCGUUGUCCGGAUUCAUUGGGCGUAAAGCGCGCGCAGGCGGCUCGGAUAGUCGGGUGUGAAAACCCGGGGCUCAACCCCGGGCCUGCAUUCGAUACUGCCGGGCUAGAGGCAGGUAGGGGAGAGUGGAAUUCCUGGUGUAGCGGUGAAAUGCGUAGAUACUGGGAGGAACACCAGUGGCGAAGGCGGCUACCUGGACCGGUUCUGACGCUGAGGCGCGAAAGCGUGGGUAGCAAACAGG